AGCAGGGUAGAGUAACGGUAGCUCGCCGCGCUCAUAACGCGGAAUGUGCGGGUUCGAUUCCCGCUCCUGCUC
rnacentral:tRNA from 1 species